AUUGAACGCUGGCGGCAGGCUUAACACAUGCAAGUCGAGCGGGGAAAGGUAGCUCGCUACUUUACCUAGCGGCGGACGGGUGAGUAAUGCUUAGGAAUCUGCCUAUUAGUGGGGGACAACAUCUCGAAAGGGAUGCUAAUACCGCAUACGUCCUACGGGAGAAAGCAGGGGACCUUCGUGCCUCGCGCUAAUAGAUGAGCCUAAGUCGGAUUAGCUAGUUGGUGGGGUAAAGGCCUACCAAGGCGACGAUCUGUAGCGGGUCUGAGAGGAUGAUCCGCCACACUGGGACUGAGACACGGCCCAGACUCCUACGGGAGGCAGCAGUGGGGAAUAUUGGACAAUGGGGGGAACCCUGAUCCAGCCAUGCCGCGUGUGUGAAGAAGGCCUUUUGGUUGUAAAGCACUUUAAGCGAGGAGGAGGCUACCGAGAUUAAUACUCUUGGAUAGUGGACGUUACUCGCAGAAUAAGCACCGGCUAACUCUGUGCCAGCCGCCGCAGUAAGAC
rnacentral:rRNA from 1 species